UGUUUACAAGAAAAUAAAACUACAAAAUUAUGAUUACCCCAACUGAACACUCCAAUUAUUAAGUAAGUCUAAUUUUGGGAUAACGCGCAGUUUUUGAAGUAUGAAUUGAUUAUACUUAGAAAAUAUUUUUUAAGUAUCCGUAGCUUGUAAAUUCUUUUUUGUUUGUCAUCCAGGUCAAUCCAGUACUGUACUUUGUGCAUAUUUUGAUAGUAUAUUUCUAUGACAUGAGGGGAGAAUCUAACCUUCUUUGAACAAUCAAAAAAGAAACAAUAUGCAUUUGUCUCUUGGGAGCGAAAAGGAACACCAAGUGCAGAUGAUUUCAGACCAAAGAGAAGCCUGGACUCUAAAUGAAGGAAUCAACACUGAGGGACAACUCAAGAGCUGUGCUCAGCUACCCAUGAAGAACAGGCAGUGCAACCAUUAGACUGAGAUCAGGACCCAUAUGGAAGAGUUGAAAGGACUGAAGGAGAUGACCGGGAUUGCAACCACAUAGGAACAACAAGAGUAUUAACUAAUCCAGACUUUUCAGAGCUGACAGACACUAAGCAUCCAGAAGAGAGUAUGUAUUGGGCUGAUCUGUGACCUCUGGCACAUAUAUAGCAGAGCACUACCCUUCCUGUCUUCAAUUGGAGAGAUGUGUUUAAUCCUAUAGAGACUUGAUUUUCCAGGGAAGGGGAUAAUGUCAAAGUGAUGUGUGUGGGGGGUGGAAACCCCUCUAAAAAGGAAAUGGUAGGGGGGAUAGGGGAAUCAGUAACAGGGGCAGGAUUUGGAAUGAAAUAAAUAAUACAAUGUAAUUUUAAAAUUUUAAGUAUUGUUAAACACAAUCAGUUGUAUCUUCAAUGACAGAAAAAUGUUGUAAACAUUACUGAGAAUAAUAUAAAAAAUAUACCGUUAACAAAGUUCAUAUGGUAUGAAUAUUAUAUCAGCCAUCAAAUUAAAUAAAAAACAACCAUCUGUAGGCUACA